GAAGUGUAUGAAAGGAGAGCAGGUUAGCACACCCCUUGACAAGGACGGAAGAGUCCCUCAGGUCUGACGACACAAACACAGUUAAGGAAUUGCCACCUACUUCCUGGCACCUGAAAAGAAAAAAGG